CAUGCAAGUCGAGCGCGGGAAGCAAGCAGAUCUCCUUCGGGAGUGACGCUUGUGGAACGAGCGGCGGACGGGUGAGUAACACGUGGGCAACCUACCUGUAAGACUGGGAUAACUCCGGGAAACCGGGGCUAAUACCGGAUGAAACAAAGCGUCGCAUGACGCAAUGUUAAAAGGCGGCAUAUGCUGUCACUUACAGAUGGGCCCGCGGCGCAUUAGCUAGUUGGUGAGGUAAAGGCUCACCAAGGCAACGAUGCGUAGCCGACCUGAGAGGGUGAUCGGCCACACUGGGACUGAGACACGGCCCAGACUCCUACGGGAGGCAGCAGUAGGGAAUCUUCCGCAAUGGACGAAAGUCUGACGGAGCAACGCCGCGUGAGUGAUGAAGGUUUUCGGAUCGUAAAACUCUGUUGUUAGGGAAGAACAAGUGCCAUUCGAAUAGGUUGGCACCUUGACGGUACCUAACCAGAAAGCCCCGGCUAACUACGUGCCAGCAGCCGCGGUAAUACGUAGGGGGCAAGCGUUGUCCGGAAUUAUUGGGCGUAAAGCGCGCGCAGGCGGUCCUUUAAGUCUGAUGUGAAAGCCCACGGCUUAACCGUGGAGGGCCAUUGGAAACUGGAGGACUUGAGUACAGAAGAGGAGAGUGGAAUUCCACGUGUAGCGGUGAAAUGCGUAGAGAUGUGGAGGAACACCAGUGGCGAAGGCGACUCUCUGGUCUGUAACUGACGCUGAGGUGCGAAAGCGUGGGUAGCGAACAGGAUUAGAUACCCUGGUAGUCCACGCCGUAAACGAUGAGUGCUAGGUGUUAGGGGUUUCCGCCCCUUAGUGCUGAAGUUAACGCAUUAAGCACUCCGCCUGGGGAG
rnacentral:rRNA from 1 species